rnacentral:rRNA from 1 species
UACGUAGGUGGCAAGCGUUGUCCGGAAUUAUUGGGCGUAAAGGGCUCGUAGGCGGUCUGUUGCGUCAGGAGUGAAAACUCGGGGCUUAACCCCGAGCCUGCUUCUGAUACGGGCAGACUAGAGGUAUGCAGGGGAGAACGGAAUUCCUGGUGUAGCGGUGAAAUGCGUAGAUAUUGGGAAGAACACCAGCGGCGAAAGCGCGCUACUGGGCCAUUACUGACACUCAUGGACGAAAGCUAGGGGAGCGAAAGGG